UAGUAAUGCGUCAGCUAAAAGAAACGAACUUACGAGAAAGUAGCUUUUGAUUAUCAAAAAAGAACUGUUUAGUGUUUUAAAUUAAGCAUUUAUAAUUUAUAAUUGAAUCUGGCAGUCUCUCAUCCCCUUAGUUAGGUAAAUGCAAAUAGGAAGUUUCAUGGUGAGGAAGGGAGCCUGGAGACCUCUCAAAAGUUGAAGAAGAGCUAAAACGGAAUUA